rnacentral:tRNA from 1 species
GCCCUGAUGGCACACUGGUUAAGCGCUUGGCUGCUAACCAAAAAGCCGGUGGUUCAAUUCCACUAGCGGCU